AGGGGAGAAAGAAAUAGAAAAGAAAGGUGUUAUGUUACGUUAAUGUUAAAUAUAUGACUUUAUGAUACCAACAAAAACAAAAAAACAAAAAACAAAAAUUAAAGAAAAAAAAAUGAAAGAGAAAAAAGAGCCAACGAAGAAAAGAACCUCUUUUUAACGAGAGAGAAAAGAGGGCCUGUUUGGUUCUUUGGAAUCCGUCUUUUCUCUCCUAAAUCUUUUCUCUCGUCAUCCCUCAUCUCUUCUCUCCCUCUCUUCUUCUUCCUCUACACUGGAAUUCCGAAAAAAAAAAGGUGAGAGAAAGAGAAAAUUUUGAGAGAAGAAGAAGAGAACAGGAAAAAGCAAAAAAAAAAAAAAAAUUGGGGUGGGAGUGGGGGUUCACCGUUCAUUUUGUAAAUUUCUUUGUAGUUUUGGGUCUGUUUUAAAUAAAUAGUAAUCUGAGAUUUAGGGUGGAGUGUAUGAAUGGAGUUGGAUAGUAUUGAGUGUGUGUCAUCCACAGAUGGAAUGGAUGAGGAUGAGAUCCAUCACCAUAAUCUGCACCAUCCACACCCUCUUCACGGCCACCAUCAAUUCUCAUCUUCAAAGCCUCACAAUGGCACCAACAACACCGCCAAUGCUAAUAGCAUCAACAAUAUUGUGGGUCCUACGGCGAUCGCUCCGGCUACCAGCGUUCAUGAAUUGUUAGAAUGCCCUGUUUGUACCAAUUCUAUGUACCCACCAAUUCAUCAGUGCCACAAUGGACAUACACUUUGUUCUACAUGUAAAACAAGGGUACACAACCGGUGCCCCACUUGUAGACAGGAACUUGGUGAUAUUAGAUGUUUAGCAUUGGAGAAGGUGGCAGAAUCCCUUGAAUUGCCUUGCAAAUACUACAAUUUAGGAUGCCCAGAAAUCUUUCCCUAUUACAGCAAACUCAAACAUGAGGCAAUUUGCAACUACAGACCAUACAAUUGUCCAUAUGCUGGAUCAGAGUGUUCUGUUGUUGGGGAUAUUCCUUUCCUGGUUGCCCAUCUGAGGGAUGACCACAAGGUGGACAUGCACACUGGCUGCACGUUUAACCAUCGUUAUGUGAAGUCCAACCCCCGUGAAGUGGAAAAUGCUACUUGGAUGCUAACAGUCUUCCAUUGUUUUGGUCAAUAUUUCUGCCUUCACUUUGAAGCCUUCCAGCUGGGCAUGGCCCCUGUCUACAUGGCAUUUCUACGUUUCAUGGGUGAUGAGAUUGAGGCUAGGAACUAUAGCUACAGCCUUGAGGUUGGAGCAAAUGGCCGGAAACUUAUAUGGGAAGGUACCCCACGUAGCAUCCGUGAUAGUCACCGGAAAGUCAGGGACAGCCAUGAUGGUCUAAUUAUCCAACGUAACAUGGCACUUUUCUUCUCUGGUGGGGACAGGAAGGAGCUAAAGCUUAGGGUUACUGGAAGGAUAUGGAAGGAACAACAAAAUCCAGAUGCUGGUGUGUGCAUACCAAACUUAUGUAGCUGAGAGAAUUGAUUUUGAUAACUUUUCCUUGAUUUGUUUUGAACGCUUUCUGCUGUGUGUUCUACCUCUGCCAACGCUUUCUGUUUGACCAUAGCUCAUUAAUCCUGUCAUUCUAGCUGUUUACACUUGGUGAUGUCACAAAAUGUGCCAGCUUGAGAUGGAGUUUUUUAUUUCCCCAUGCUCUCCCGGUCACCCCUGCGCAGCUAGACCAAGACAUUGGAAAUCUUAAACAAGACAGUUUAUUACUUUGAUUGCCAUCAAAUCCAUUUAUUGCUGCAAAACCAUCCGUGGCAGCAAACCAACAACUCCUUUCCCCUUGUUUACUGAUGAAAACAUCAAUACACCUUCUCUGCAGCCCCCAUGUACCUGAGUUUGCUAGACUGCUUCUCGUCUUUUCACUUAUAGCAAGUUUACUUAAAGCAAAAGUCUACUAGCGAUGCAAUAUUUCAAUCCAAAAUUUUAGCUAUAAAUAUGGUACGAUACUGGGCUUACAAACCCCUUGUAGAUAGAUAACUUACCUUCAUCCCAUCACAUUAAAUUCUUUGGAGAAACUGAAUCCAGUCACUUCGCACCGGUGCACCAGCGGAGUGCGGUGCAAUAAGAGACGGAUUGCAGCCUGCGAUUCAGAGGGGGAUAAAGCCAAUUUGAGUUGGAACUCAAGGCAAUGCAUUGGUUGUUAGAUCGCUCUCAUGUAUUGCAACUCUGAUGAUAACUGGUUUCUAAGAGUAAUCAUUUGAUUGUUAUAAUGAGGGAGGCUUGAUUUAUGACCCGUGUAAAAUUUUACUCUCUAAUCUCCAUCACUUUUCGUCA